rnacentral:rRNA from 1 species
GACGAACGCUGGCGGCGUGCUUAACACAUGCAAGUCGAACGGAAAGGCCCUGCUUUUGUGGGGUGCUCGAGUGGCGAACGGGUGAGUAACACGUGAGUAACCUGCCCUUGACUGUGGGAUAACUUCAGGAAACUGGGGCUAAUACCGGAUAGGAGCUCCUACUGCAUGGUGGGGGUUGGAAAGUUUCGGCGGUUGGGGUUGGAGUCGCGGCUGCUCAGCUUGAUGGAGGGGGAGUGGCUUACCACGGCCUUGACGGGGAGCCGGCCUGAGAGGGUGACCGGCCACAUUGGGCCUGAGGUGCGGGCCGGAGUCCUACGGGAGGCAGCAGUGGGGAAUAUUGCACGAUGGGCGGAGUCCGUAUGGAGCAACGCCGCGUGCGGAAGGACGGCCUUCGGGUAGGAAACCGCGUUCGCCUGGGACGAAGCGUGUGUGACGGUAAUGUGUCAGGAAGCACCGGCUAACUACGUG